CGGGAGGCAGCAGUGGGGGAAUUUUGGACAAUGGGGGCAACCCUGAUCCAGCCAUGCCGCGUGCGGGAAGAAGGCCUUCGGGUUGUAAACCGCUUUUGGCCGGGAAGAAAAGGUUCGAGGCUAAUACCUUGGGAUUUUUGAACGGUACCGGCAAGAAUAAGCACCGGCUAACUACGUGCCAGCCACCCGCGGUA
rnacentral:rRNA from 1 species